GGUGACAACCUGAAUUCAUGAUUGGCAUCUGAAGUAGGGUGGGAGCAGUCUUGUGGGACUGAGCCCUUAACCUGUGGGAUCUCAUGCUAUCGCCAGGUAGAUAGUGUUAGAAUUGAGUUAAAUUGUAGGACACUCACCUGGUGAGGCAGAGAAUUGCUUGGUGUGGGGAAAACCUCCACACAUCUGGUGUCAGAUGUGUUUGAGUGUGAUAGUAGUGUGAGAGUAAAGGAGGAACAUAGGAAGACGACUCAAACUUU